rnacentral:rRNA from 1 species
GAUGAACGCUGGCGGCGUGCCUAAUACAUGCAAGUCGAGCGAACGGACGAGAAGCUUGCUUCUCUGAUGUUAGCGGCGGACGGGUGAGUAACACGUGGAUAACCUACCUAUAAGACUGGGAUAACUUCGGGAAACCGGAGCUAAUACCGGAUAAUAUUUUGAACGGCAUGGUUCAAAAGUGAAAGACGGUCUUGCUGUCACUUAUAGAUGGAUCCGCGCUGCAUUAGCUAGUUGGUAAGGUAACGGCUUACCAAGGCAACGAUGCAUAGCCGACCUGAGAGGGUGAUCAGCCACACUGGAACUGAGACACGGUCCAGACUCCUACGGGAGGCAGCAGUAGGGAAUCUUGCGCAAUGGGCGAAAGCCUGACGGAGCAACGCCGCGUGAGUGAUGAAGGUCUUCGGAUCGUAAAACUCUGUUAUUAGGGAAGAACAUAUGUGUAAGUAACUGUGCACAUCUUGACGUUACCUACUCAGAAAGCCACGGCUAACUACGUG